UACGUAGGGUGCAAGCGUUGUCCGGAAUUAUUGGGCGUAAAGAGCUCGUAGGCGGUGUGUCACGUCGUUCGUGAAAACCUGCAGCUUAACUGUGGGCGUGCGGUCGAUACGGGCAUCACUGGAGUUCGGCAGGGGAGACUGGAAUUCCUGGUGUAGCGGUGAAAUGCGCAGAUAUCAGGAGGAACACCGGUGGCGAAGGCGGCCUUCUGGACGGUGACUGACGCUGAGGCGCGAAAGCGUGGGGAGCAAACGGG
rnacentral:rRNA from 1 species